GGACUUGAGGGGACCCUCCAGGGGAGCCGCCGCUGCCGCUCGAAUCGAGCUUGAGGGGGUUGGGCCGCCGCCAUUUUCCUGUUGCUCGAAUCCAGGCUCGACUGCCUAUGGACCACGGGGACGCCCUCGCCGCUUGUCCAUGCCCUUUCACUUGUCGACCAGUUGCGCGAGCAUAGCGGGGAUCGGGGAAAAGGGGUUUCACUGCUGUGGCGGUCGAGCUUGCGAAGGACGGUGCGUCGAACACGACGUGGGCAGGUGGAGGGUUGGGGCCUUGGGGGCUUGCGUGCUCUGGAACGACGCCCCUCUCUCUCUGGAACGACAACAACGGAUGAAGCGUCCUCAGCGGCGGUGGGGAAUCAAAUCUUCAGCAGCGGCAAACUAACGCAUCCUCUGCGGCGGCAAGGAAUCAGGUAACGGCCCCCUCCCUCUCCUGGAGCCUUCCCUUCUCAGUCUCCCAUUGGGAUGGCGCAUAGCGACAACUGGUCGAGGAACCGCCUAGAACGUGGUGAACUCCGAUGGCACCCCAGGCUCGAUGUUGGAGUUGAUUGGACGAAAAAGGGUUCCAACCAACACUUACAUCCAAGUAGCCCAUACAAACUCAUGCCACACACACACCCAAGGCGAGAUACAAGAAUGCCGGGCACCGACACACCACCACAACAAUUACUAAGCGCCUAUAAGAUGUGCAAGAAGGAACCGCUUAGAGCCGACCAAGACAACCACCAAGACGAUGCCUCCAAGAAGGGCACGACCACGGAAUGUCGCCGUCAUCCGAUCCAAAAAUCAAGUUUUCACCCGGAGCUAGAAGGAAGGAGUGGGAGCACCAAGACAGAGCCUGCAAGGAGGAACACGACGUCCGCGAACGACAUCACCGUCGGUCAGUGCAUGGACUUGGCAAGUGACGUACCCCGGUGCUUCACCCCCUCUAUCGCAACCCCGCUCCGUGAACCACCCGUAGCCAUGCCUCCCGAGCGGCCAUGGUUGUCUACCUGCAUCUGAGCUGCACAGUCCGCCCACGACCAACACGCCUCCCGCUACCAGGACCACCGGGACGCGAGAUCCGGCCUGUGCCACACACCACGCCCAAGGAGACAAAGGGGCCUCGCCGUCGGUGGCGACGACCGGGCUUCGCCCGCUCGUGCCCCCUGGGGGCGGCGAGGGAGGGAGGAGAGGAGGAGGGGAGGGGAGGCAGCGGCACUAGGGUUAGCCUCCCGGACGCUCACGGGAGCGUCCCGGGAGGAGGAGGGGUUCGAAAAAAAAACUCUCGUUGAUUCAGCACUCGGACGUGUCAUGCUUAGCAUGAACACGCAAUAUUGUAGUGCAACGGCGGCGCAAGAGCACGCGUGGCGUGCUAGAGGGCACGGGUGGGUGGCGUCGCAUUUCUGGUCGAGGGCUUGUUGUUCUAAGAGAUGUAGCAUUGGAUUCAGUUCCUUAAUGGUGGACAACCAGCCGUAGUAUUGGGUUGGCUUUUGAUUAUUGCAGUUUCAGUUUAGGAGGGUAGAAAUCGAACUGCCAUCACAUUCUAUUGUUAAUGUUCGCAGUGAGCUUCUUGUGGCCUCAAGCUUUUGAAAUUUUCAAUAACAAGCUUUGUAAUAUUGGUCUAAUGUGGUUUUGUUAUUUUACAAACUACUAACUGAUGUGUCUGUGUGUCGACUGCCGGCUUCUGCUUGUGUGCUAAGCAGACCACAACAAUCAAGGGACGAAGAACGAAGGCACGUCAGUUCACAAGGCACUAGUUCGUCCUAGAUAUUAUCACCAAAAAUCAGCAUGCAAUUGUGCUGAGUCCCCACUAGCAGUGUAUCAUGAAUCCUUUAUUUUUGGCAACCAAUGAUUGCUACCUGCUGUCGCUGUAAUAUUGUCGUAUAAAUUUUGUUUUUAAUUUGUCCGUUCCCCGCAAAAAGGGAAAUUCUGUUGAUUGUACACGCAAAAGAAAAUUUGUUGAUUGGAACCUUGGUAGCCUA
rnacentral:lncRNA from 1 species